AUCCUGAUGUGUACGUUUCGUCUAAUCAUUUUGACCGAACACUUAUUUGAUAGGGAGCCUGCAUUUUCUAUACUGCAGACACGCCCCGUAAGCUGAGGAAGUCCAAAAUGUAUAGAAUAGGGCACCCACCUGCCUUUUGCGGGAUCAAAAUUGUAAAGGAAACGGCACGAUCGGGAUUU
rnacentral:other from 1 species